rnacentral:rRNA from 1 species
GUCGAACGGUAGAGGGGGCAACCCCUCGAGAGUGGCGAACGGGUGAGUAAUAUAUCGGAACGUGCCCAGUCGUGGGGGAUAACGUAGCGAAAGUUACGCUAAUACCGCAUACGAUCUACGGAUGAAAGCGGGGGACUCGCAAGAGCCUCGCGCGAUUGGAGCGGCCGAUAUCAGAUUAGGUAGUUGGUGGGGUAAAGGCUCACCAAGCCAACGAUCUGUAGCUGGUCUGAGAGGACGACCAGCCACACUGGAACUGAGACACGGUCCAGACUCCUACGGGAGGCAGCAGUGGGGAAUUUUGGACAAUGGACGCAAGUCUGAUCCAGCCAUUCCGCGUGCAGGAUGAAGGCCCUCGGGUUGUAAACUGCUUUUGUACGGAACGAAAAGGUCUCUCUUAAUACGAGGGGCUCAUGACGGUACCGUAAGAAUAAGCACCGGCUAACUACGUGCCAGCAGCCGCGGUAAUACGUAGGGUGCAAGCGUUAAUCGGAAUUACUGGGCGUAAAGCGUGCGCAGGCGGUUAUGUAAGACAGAGGUGAAAUCCCCGGGCUCAACCUGGGAACUGCCUUUGUGACUGCAUAGCUAGAGUACGGUAGAGGGGGAUGGAAUUCCGCGUGUAGCAGUGAAAUGCGUAGAUAUGCGGAGGAACACCGAUGGCGAAGGCAAUCCCCUGGACCUGUACUGACGCUCAUGCACGAAAGCGUGGGGAGCAAACAGGAUUAGAUACCCUGGUAGUCCACGCCCUAAACG